CAUGUCCUUUUGAUAAUAAUAAAAGGUCUAGUCUGCUCCAUGAAUAAUUUAAAUAGCUGCAGUAUUUUGACUGUACAAAGGUAGCAUAAUAAAUAGUUUUUUAAUUGAAGACUUGUAUGAAAGAUUGGACGAGAAAAUUACUGUCUCAAUUUAAAUAGUAUUGAAUUUAACUUUUUAGUAAAAAGGCUAAAAUUUGUUUAAAAGACAAGAAGACCCUAUAGAGUUUUAUAAUAUUUAAUUUUUAAUUUUUUUUGAAUUAAUAAAAUAUAAAUUUUUUUAUAUUAUUUAGUUGGGGUGAUUGAAAAAUUUAAUAAACUUUUUUAUAUAAUAAUUAUUUAUAUAUAAAUUUUUUAUCUAGAUUUUUAAAUUUAAAAUAAAUUACCUUAGGGAUAACAGCGUUAUAUAUUUUUAAAGUUCUUAUUUAAAAAUUUGAUUGCGACCUCGAUGUUGGAUUAAAAUAAAUUUUUAG
rnacentral:rRNA from 1 species